rnacentral:rRNA from 1 species
AUUGAACGCUGGCGGCAGGCCUAACACAUGCAAGUCGAACGGUAACAGGAAGAAGCUUGCUUCUUUGCUGACGAGUGGCGGACGGGUGAGUAAUGUCUGGGAAACUGCCUGAUGGAGGGGGAUAACUACUGGAAACGGUAGCUAAUACCGCAUAACGUCGCAAGACCAAAGAGGGGGACCUUCGGGCCUCUUGCCAUCGGAUGUGCCCAGAUGGGAUUAGCUAGUAGGUGGGGUAACGGCUCACCUAGGCGACGAUCCCUAGCUGGUCUGAGAGGAUGACCAGACACACUGGAACUGAGACACGGUCCAGACUCCUACGGGAGGCAGCAGUGGGGAAUAUUGCACAAAGGGCGCAAGCCUGAUGCAGCCAUGCCGCGUGUAUGAAGAAGGCCUUCGGGUUGUAAAGUACUUUCAGCGGGGAGGAAGGGAGUAAAGUUAAUACCUUUGCUCAUUGACGUUACCCGCAGAAGAAGCACCGGCUAACUCCGUG